rnacentral:rRNA from 1 species
AUUGAACGCUGGCGGCAUGCUUUACACACGCAAGUCGAACGGAAACAGGCCGCAAGGUGCUGACGAGUGGCGAACGGGUGAGUAAUGCAUCGGAACGUGCCCAGUCGUGGGGGAUAACGCAGCGAAAGCUGUGCUAAUACCGCAUACGAUCUAUGGAUGAAAGCGGGGGACCGUAAGGCCUCGCGCGAUUGGAGCGGCCGAUGUCAGAUUAGGUAGUUGGUGGGGUAAAGGCUCACCAAGCCAACGAUCUGUAGCUGGUCUGAGAGGACGAGCAGCCGCACGGGGGCUGAGAUACGGCCCAGACUCCUGCGGGAGGCAGCAGUGGGGAAUUUUGGACAAUGGGCGCAAGCCUAAUCCAGCAAUGCCGCGUGCAGGAAGAAGGCCUUCGGGUUGUAAACUGCUUUUGUACGGAACGAAAAGGUUUGGGUUAAUACCCUGGGCCGAUGACGGUACCGUAAGAAUAAGCACCGGCUAACUACGUGCCAGCCGCCGCAGUAAUAC